rnacentral:tRNA from 1 species
GGGGAUGUAGCUCAGUGGUAGAGCAUUUGCUUGGCAUGUAUAGGGUCCUGGGUUCAAUCCCCAGUACCA